GACGAACGCUGGCGGCGUGCUUAACACAUGCAAGUCGAACGGAAAGGCCCUGCUUUUGUGGGGUGCUCGAGUGGCGAACGGGUGAGUAACACGUGAGUAACCUGCCCUUGACUUUGGGAUAACUUCAGGAAACUGGGGCUAAUACCGGAUAGGAGCUCCUGCUGCAUGGUGGGGGUUGGAAAGUUUCGGCGGUUGGGGAUGGACUCGCGGCUUAUCAGCUUGUUGGUGGGGUAGUGGCUUACCAAGGCUUUGACGGGUAGCCGGCCUGCGAGGGUGACCGGCCCAUUGGGACUGAGAUACGGCCCAGACUCCUACGGGAGGCAGCAGUGGGGAAUAUUGCACAAUGGGCGGAAGCCUGAUGCAGCAACGCCGCGUGCGGGAUGACGGCCUUCGGGUUGUAAACCGCUUUCGCCUGUGACGAAGCGUGAGUGACGGUAAUGGGUAAAGAAGCACCGGCUAACUACGUG
rnacentral:rRNA from 1 species